rnacentral:tRNA from 1 species
GUCACGGGAAAUUCAAAAUUGUAUGUUGGUUUAUCACGUUCGACUGUAAAUCGAAAGGUCCCUAGUUCGAUUCUGGGAGCGGAGACA